CACAGACACACUUGCAAACUUCUUUGCUCCGUUUCGAACACUCUUUAUCAAUGCUGCUACCAGCUUCAGCUUCAAUGCUACUUCCAUUUCAGCUUCAACGGUAGCUAUUCCAAGAUACAAAUGGCUUGCUGCUAUAGGUAUCACUGUUUUCUUCUGCACCUUCAUUCCCAUUGCAGAACCAUUCCGCUCUCACUCCGGGCUAAUUUCUCAACCGUCGCAACUUCCCUUCGCAAUCUUCAACCGCCAAGACCGCUUCGACAACCACGCGCCCUCGUCUACAAGGGUUAUUGUAGUGCGUCCAGCAACGCGAGUUUGAUUCCAGAAUAUUUGCAGCUCAGCAAUGCGGAUAUUGCAGCUAACUCUGCCGCUUCCAAUGGCAGAGUCAUGCUCAUUGAUGGCACCUCAAUAAUUCAUAGGGCCUAUUACAAGCUUUUAGCGAAAUUGCACCAUGGUCAUCUAACACAUGCCGAUGGAAAUGGAGAUUGGGUUUUAACGAUAUUUACGGCUCUCUCACUUAUUAUUGAUGUUCUGGAGUUUAUCCCUUCCCAUGUUGUGGUGGUGUUUGACCAUGAUGGAAUUCCUUUUGGUCAUUCCACUAAUUCAUCAAAACACUGUUUUAACGCAAAAGGUCAGAAUUUCCGACACAAUCUAUACCCUUCCUACAAGAGCAAUCGCCCUCCAACUCCUGAUACCAUUGUUCAGGGACUUCAGUACCUAAAAGCCUCCAUCAAGGCAAUGUCCAUCAAAGUCAUUGAGGUUCCAGGUGUUGAGGCAGAUGAUGUGAUUGGAACAUUGGCCUUAAGGAAUGUUAAUGCUGGGUAUAAGGUACGAGUUGUCUCCCCAGACAAAGACUUUUUUCAGAUUCUGUCUCCUUCAUUACGCCUCCUUAGAAUUGCUCCACGAGGAGAUCAGAUGGUUUCAUUUGGAGUUGAGGACUUUGAAAAACGAUAUGGAGGUCUUAAACCAUCACAGUUCGCAGAUAUGGUUGCACUUUCCGGUGACAGAUCUGAUAACAUUCCAGGAGUUAGCGGGAUUGGAGAUGUUUAUGCUGUGCAAUUGAUCAGUAAAUUUGGCACAUUGGAGACGUUAUUGGAAUGUGUUGAUCAAAUAGAAGAGGAUCGCAUUAGAAAGACGUUGAUUGAAAAUGCUGAGCAGGCACGCUUAAGCAAGGAACUGGCAUUGUUGCGUUCUGAUCUUCCAUUCUACAUGGUGCCAUUUGCUACAAAAGAUAUCUUAUUCAAGAAACCAGAGGACAAUGGUAGUAAAUUCAACAGCCUUUUAACUGCUAUCAGUGCAUAUGCUGAAGGGUUUUCAGCUGAUCCUAUUAUCAGGAGAGCAUUUCAUCUGUGGAGAAAGUUGGAAUCAAGAUAAAUUUACCAAGUCAUCAGAUGGAUUAGACAAUCUCCAAUCUUAGACAUUUACAACAUCACAAGCACACACUACACACUCGCACACGCAACAUUUAACUACUUGGCCUCAGUCAAGUUGCAAACCCGGGUGCAGCACAUUAAGAGGCACAGGAUUUGUCACUAGAACAAAGCCUCAGCUUCAUCUCAUAGAGCUGGAAAUUUUCAACCAAUUGAUCAAGUUCAAGAUUUAACAAUCUACAGUCAUGAAGGAAGACUAGCCAGCACACUAGCAAGGGUCUUCGAAAGAACUCAAAAGAUAACAAGAGAAUCUCACACAAGAAUCAAUUAUAAAAGCAGAAAUACUUUGCUUGUGUCCAGUAAAAGGAAUGAAAUUGAAGAAAGAGAGAUGAGACUCUUAGUGGAAUUUGAAUCAGCAUUCUACAACUUAUCUGGACUCUUAGAAAAGCUCCCCGAAAGGAUAAAGAAGAAUCUCUGCUAUUUGAUAAAAGACAGAGAAGACCACAAGUGCCAGCUAUGUGUCUCAGAGUUAUCUGAAGAAAGCAAUAAUGAAUCAACCCACAUGAUAAAGGAAGGAGACAACGCAUCUGAAGGCCACAUAAUGAAAGAGGAGGACAGCACAUCUGAAGCAUCUCUCAACAUUAUUGCAUAAUGACGUAAGCGCUUAGGUCAUAGAGCACCAACAAUGUAGCUGGUGCAAGAUAAUAAACAAUGACGUAAGCAAUGACGUCAUAAGAAGGGUAAGGAUGGGAAUUGUCCAUCAGACCCAACCAUUAUAAAUAGGUUGCUUAGGCAAUUGUAGAAAUCAUCAAACCAUAGAAAGCAGGAGGCUAAGAGUACUUAUAUGCUAGGAGAGCAAGGAGGAAGUUGCCGAGGCGAUUCUAUAGUUUGAAGAAGAAUUUCCUUAGGAAAAACCAAUUCUAAAAUCCCCUCUGGAGUUAGUAUCUACAAUCUCCCAUCUGGAGAUAAAAACAUCUUAUGUAAAAUAUACUAAAUAAAGGAAGUUUUUCUCCAGAAAGGUACGCCUUUAUCCUAAUUUCUUAGUUAUGAAUUAUUUAGAAAGUUUAGAAUUAACAGAAGAAUCUGAUUAUUAUAGAUUAACUGCUUUAUUAGAUAAUGAA